rnacentral:rRNA from 1 species
GACGUAGGGCGCGAGCGUUGUCCGGAUUUAUUGGGUGUAAAGAGCUCGUAGGCGGCUUGUCGCGUCGACUGUGAAAUCCCGCGGCUCAACCGCGGGUCUGCAGUCGAUACGGGCAGGCUAGAGUUCGGUAGGGGAGACUGGAAUUCCUGGUGUAGCGGUGAAAUGCGCAGAUAUCAGGAGGAACACCGAUGGCGAAGGCAGGUCUCUGGGCCGAUACUGACGCUGAGGAGCGAAAGCGUGGGGAGCGAACAGG